rnacentral:rRNA from 1 species
AGAGUUUGAUUCUGGCUCAGGAUGAACGCUGGCGGCGUGCUUAACACAUGCAAGUCGAACGAAGCACUUCAAUCGAUUUCUUCGGAAUGAAGUUUUAGUGACUGAGUGGCGGACGGGUGAGUAACGCGUGGGUAACCUGCCUCACACAGGGGGAUAACAGUUGGAAACGGCUGCUAAUACCGCAUAAGCGCACAGUACCGCAUGGCACAGUGUGAAAAACUCCGGUGGUACAAGAUGGACCCGCGUCUGAUUAGCUGGUUGGUGAGGUAACGGCCCACCAAGGCGACGAUCAGUAGCCGGCCUGAGAGGGUGAACGGCCACAUUGGGACUGAGACACGGCCCAA